UAUACUAAAUGUAUUUAUGGACUUGAGAAAAGAUUUAAUACAAUUAACAGAGACCAAAAGGUAGUUAUUGAACCCAAUUCUCUUUCUUAUAUGUAAUAUAUUUAUAUGUAUAUGGAUAUAUAAUAAAAAUUAUUAUUAAUAUGCAUAUUUGAGGUUGAUGGUGAUGUGUCUUUGGCUUGAUUCUCCCACCCUCUCUUUUGGCUAGAUUUUUUUAAAGUAAGGUUCAAUGUGAUUUGCUUGUCUGUUUCUUUUUUUAGGUGUUAAAGUUAGGAAGCAAGUUGUGUUAGAUGGUCCGGUUAGUUGUGGAAAGAUAAUUGCACUUGAAAUGCUUGAUGCAAAAUCAGAGGUUUGUUUAGUCUAGUACCAGAAGAUUUGAGGCCACUUAAUGCAUAAUUUUUUUAUCACAAGAAGGAAAAUAAUAGUCAAUUUUGAGUUCUGUUCAAUGAUUGAGAGAUUUUCAUGCAGAUAUUUAUUUAGAUAUUAUUGU